rnacentral:misc_RNA from 1 species
AGAGACACGACAGAGCAAGUCUGUCAGGCGUCCGCACAAGUCACCUGCAUCCAGAGAAGUCCCCUUGCCGAAAGGCAAGCCUUUGGGGCCUUAGCUCAGCUGGGAGAGCACCUGCUUUGCAAGCAGGGGGUCGUCGGUUCGAUCCCGACAGGCUCCACCACUGGCAAGCCGCGACACGUUGGGUCUGUAGCUCAGGUGGUUAGAGCGCACCCCUGAUAAGGGUGAGGCCGGUGGUUCGAGUCCUCCCAGACCCACCACUUCUUUUUUAGAACUGGAUGACAUGCGUACACGAAGAUCAGAUUGAAACAUUCGAACGUUGAGGUUCGAGUGUGUUCUAUGAAAACCGGAAUGUAGCGAGCGUUUGAGAUGAAGAAUACUCAAGACGUGUCGUUGAGGCUAAGGCGGGUGCAGUGAUGCACCUAACAUUUGAAUGUCGUUGAUAUUCGACAAGGUUGUAUGACUUCGAGGCGACUUGAGGUUAUAU